rnacentral:rRNA from 1 species
UACGUAGCCGGCUUAGCAAGUCUCCUGUUAAAUUCAGCGACCUAAUCGUUGACCCGCGGGAGAUACUACUUGGCUAGGAGGCGGGAGAGGUCGACGGUACUUCUGGGGUAGGGGUGAAAUCCUAUAAUCCCGGGAGGACCACCAGUGGCGAAGGCUGUCGACUAGAACGCGCUCGACGGUGAGGGACGAAAGCUGGGGGAGCGAACAGGAUUAGAUACCCUGGUAGUCC